rnacentral:rRNA from 1 species
AACGAACGCUGGCGGCGUGCCUAACACAUGCAAGUCGAGCGCGAAAGUUCCUUCGGGAAUGAGUAAAGCGGCGGACGGGUGAGUAAUACGUGGGUAAUCUGCCCCCGAGCUCGGGAUAACACUGCGAAAGCGGUGCUAAUACCGGAUAAGACCACAUGACCCAGGUCGUGCGGUAAAAGGUGGCUUUAUUUUCGGAUAAGGCUAUCACUUGAGGAUGAGCCCAUGGCCUAUCAGCUUGUUGGUGAGGUAAAAGCUCACCAAGGCUAUGACGGGUAGCUGGUCUAAGAGGACGACCAGCCACACUGGGACUGAGACACGGCCCAGACUCCUACGGGAGGCAGCAGUGGGGAAUAUUGGGCAAUGGGCGAAAGCCUGACCCAGCGACGCCGUGUGGGCGAUGAAGGCCUUCGGGUUGUAAAGCCCUGUGAGGUGGAAAGAAGGGUCCAGAGGUUAAUACCCUUUGGACUUUGACGGUACCACCAGAGGAAGCACCGGCUAACUCCGUGCCAGCCGCCGCCGUAAAAC